CCCUAUUAUUAAAAAUGUAAAUUUUUACUAGAUUAGUAAUAGUUAUGGUCUUGAAAAUUAAAAAUUUUGGCGGUUUUUUAGUCUAUUCAGAGGAACCUGUUUUUUAAUCGAUAAUCCACGAUUUAACUAACUUUUUUUAAUAGUUUGUAUAUCGUCGUAAUAAGAAUAUUUUAUAAGAAUUUUAAUAUUCAAAAUAUAUUUUUUAUAAAAAAUCAGAUCAAGGUAUAGCUUAUAGGAAAGUAAAAAUGGGUUACAUUUAUUUUAAUAAGGGAUUAUUUUUGUUAGAAAAAUAAGAAUUUGGAUUUGAUAGUAAUUAUUUAAAUUUAAAAUAAUGAUUUUGGCUCUAAAAUAUGCACAUAUC
rnacentral:rRNA from 1 species